AUUGACAGCAUGCUGCUUUAUGAUGGAUGU
rnacentral:piRNA from 1 species